UACGUAGGGUGCGAGCGUUGUCCGGAAUUAUUGGGCGUAAAGGGCUCGUAGGCGGUUUGUCGCGUCGGGGAGUGAAAACUCAGGGCUUAACCCUGAGCCUGCUCCCGAUACGGGCAGACUAGAGGUAUGCAGGGGAGAACGGAAUUCCUGGUGUAGCGGUGAAAUGCGCAGAUAUCAGGAGGAACACCGGUGGCGAAGGCGGUUCUCUGGGCAUUACCUGACGCUGAGGAGCGAAAGUGUGGGGAGCGAACAGG
rnacentral:rRNA from 1 species